rnacentral:rRNA from 1 species
GAUGAACGCUGGCGGCGUGCCUAAUACAUGCAAGUCGAGCGAACGGACGAGAAGCUUGCUUCUCUGAUGUUAGCGGCGGACGGGUGAGUAACACGUGGAUAACCUACUUAUAAGACUGGGAUAAUUUCGGGAAACCGGAGCUAAUACCGGAUAAUAUUUUGAACCGCAUGGUUCAAAAGUAAAAGACGGCCUUGCUGUCACUUAUAGAUGGAUCCGCGCUGCAUUAGCUAGUUGGUAAGGUAACGGCUUACCAAGGCAACGAUGCAUAGCCGACCUGAGAGGGUGAUCGGCCACACUGGAACUGAGACACGGUCCAGACUCCUACGGGAGGCAGCAGUAGGGAAUCUUCCGCAAUGGGCGAAAGCCUGACGGAGCAACGCCGCGUGAGUGAUGAAGGUCUUCGGAUCGUAAAACUCUGUUAUUAGGGAAGAACAUAUGUGUAAGUAACUGUGCACAUCUUGACGGUACCUAAUCAGAAAGCCACGGCUAACUACGUG